AUUGAACGCUGGCGGCAUGCCUUACACAUGCAAGUCGAACGGCAGCAUGGAGAGCUUGCUCUCUGAUGGCGAGUGGCGAACGGGUGAGUAAAGCAUCGGAACGUACCGUGUAGUGGGGGAUAACGUAGCGAAAGUUACGCUAAUACCGCAUACGCACUGAGGUGGAAAGCAGGGGAUCGUAAGACCUUGCGCUAUACGAGCGGCCGAUGUCAGAUUAGCUAGUUGGUAGGGUAAAGGCCUACCAAGGCGACGAUCUGUAGCGGGUCUGAGAGGAUGAUCCGCCACACUGGGACUGAGACGCGGCCCAGACUCCUACGGGAGGCAGCAGUGGGGAAUUUUGGACAAUGGGGGCAACCCUGAUCCAGCCAUGCCGCGUGAGUGAAGAAGGCCUUCGGGUUGUAAAGCUCUUUCGGCCGGGAAGAAAUCGCACAGGCUAAUACCCUGUGUGGAUGACGGUACCGGCAUAAGAAGCACCGGCUAACUACGUG
rnacentral:rRNA from 1 species